AUUCCAGCUCUGUAAGCGUAUACCAAAGUUGUUGCAGUUAAAACGCUCGUAGUCGAACCUUGGCGUGAGUUACGGAGGCUCCUAAUGGACGUCGAAGUAACUCCGCCUUUGUGGAGGGGGGUGUGGUGUUACUUCAUUGUAUUGCCGCAUUUCCGCCACUGUUUACUGUGAAAAAAUUAGAGUGUUCAAAGCGAGCGUUUGCCAUGAAUACAUUAGCAUGGAAUAAUAGAAUAGGACCUGGUCCUGUUUUAUUGGUUUGUCAGUAUCAGGUAAUGAUUAACAGGGACGGUCGGGGGCAUUUGUAUUCCAGCGUUAGAGGUGAAAUUCUUGGAUCGCUGGAAGACAAACAGCUGCGAAAGCGUCUGCCAAGGACGUUUUCAUCA
rnacentral:rRNA from 1 species